CUCCAGUUUAGCAGUUUUUAAGGGGCUCUUGACCUCCCUGUUGACCUCCUUUUUAUCCAGAGCAGAGCCGGAAAAGAAAAUCCUCUUUUUUUUAAAUUAAGGAUUUCCUUGAGCUCCUUGGUGAUCCAGGGUAUGUUGUUGGGGUAGAUGGAGACUGUUUUUGAGGAGAUAAUGAUAACUUGAAAAUUAAUGAAAAGACCAGAGGAAAAGUGGUCGGGACAGAUCGGCUGAAAACGCUGCCCAGAGCGUCGCUGAAGAAGAAGAAGAAAGCUGAAUGACGUUGACACUUUGAAGCAAAUUGUUUCAACCUUUAUUAAACAUAGCUUGCAAGAGAUAAAUAUUACAAAGUUAUUUCCUCCAAAAUUAGCUUAUUUUUUUUCAAUCAAUGCAUAAUUGUCAAUCAACUGGCAGUAUUCAAACAGCAUUAUUUUCUUGACGUUUUUUUUGAAGACCGUUAAAUAUCAAGUAUGUGCAAAAGGUCAGGAUUGAUGCAAGAAUCCCAAACAUUUUGCACAUUUGUUACACAAUAAUACACAGUGAUCACAAAACGAAAUGACAAGCUUCACAAUAUUCAUGGCUUUUUGUUUGCUUUUCUACACAAUGUACAACCAUUUAAUUUCUUUUUUCAGUAACGGAGGAAAAAUGCAUAUGUACAAUAAGUCAUUAUCACUUAAAACCUAGCAAAUAUUGUGUCAUUUAUUUCAUAGUCAAUAUUUUUUUUAACUGCGACAGAAAGAAAACAAACAAAUCCUUAGAAUAAAGAAUGACUUAAAUCUAAAAAGUGAUGUUGAAAAGAACAAAGUUCAAAUACAAAGAUGUAUAAAUGCAUCUGCAAAAAGAGAGACGGGAGCUUAUUUUGUCAUUUAAACUUUAGCUUUGCAGCUAAAGCAGAUCGGACCAGGAGUUGGAGCAAAAAUAGAUUUCAGGUAUCGUUUCGCUACAUCCAAUUUCAAACGUUGUCUCCCAUUCAGCUCAGUCUUUAUACACAUAGUGCCAGCUCACAGCAGGGAUCUUGGAUCGCUCUCUGUGGACUGUUUGUCACUGGAUCAUUCUGUAGUAGUGACAGGCAGGUCUGGAUUACUUGGACACAACCAGAACGCACAAC
ensembl:lncRNA